rnacentral:rRNA from 1 species
AUUGAACGCUGGCGGCAGGCCUAACACAUGCAAGUCGAGCGGAGCGUCGGACGAGUGCGUACUGCCUAGUAAUCUGCCUGGUAGUGGGGGAUAACGUCCGGUACCGGGCCCUAAUACCGCAUCCUAUCAGAUGAGCCUGGGUCGGAUUAGCUAGUUGGUGGGGUAAAGGCCUACCAAGGCGACGAUCCGUAACUGGUCUGAGAGGAUGAUCAGUCAAACUGGAACUGAGACACGGGCCAGACUCCUACGGGAGGCAGCAGUGGGGAAUAUUGGACAAUGGGCGAAAGCCUGAUCCAGCCAUGCCGCGUGUGUGAAGAAGGUCUUCGGAUUGUAAAGCACUUUUAGUUGGGAGGCGUUAUCAACAGAAUAAGCACCGGCUAACUUCGUGCCAGCAGCCGCGGUAAUAC